AUUCUAGGGAUUUUUUGACCCUAGCCUAUGUUUAUAAUCUUCGAUGACAGUCAAGGACCGACGAGUUUACACAAUGGUGCAAUAAAGCGUUGAGUAGCAUACAGGCGUCUGUGGAUAUCCCUACAUUUCUUGGAUUUGUGCGGGACGUUGAAUCGGCGUAUGAGGUUAAAAAUUACGUUCGCCUGUAUCUUGGUGACACUAAGCAGAGCACGGAAUUUAAUAAGCAAUUCCUGGAGAAACGAAACAAGUGGCGAUCAGCGUAACGUUCUCAGGCACAAGCGGAUGAUCUGUGUAAGCCAGCGCUGGCAGUUAAUCCAAAUGCACCUGCACAAUUUCAGGAAGUAAAGGGAAAAUCCAAGAAACCAAAGAAGGGAUAGAUAUUCAAAGUGGAUAACAGAAUUCUUGGCUUCAGUGUAACCGCGGCACCCGAUCGUAUUAAUGUAGGUGACCGCGAUUACAGUGAAGGAGCCUGAGCUGUUUCGUCAGUUAACCUCAUGGAAAUGAUGAGUCACUCGAUUCAUCAAACAGUUCGUUAUUUAUUUAUUGUAUUCAAUACAUGCCAAACGGAUGCUGAGAGUCCCACCAUGGGUAUUUCUUAAGAUAUAUAAAGACUUUUUAUGAUCCACACACGUGAACGAAGAACUUAUCCCCCCAAAGGCGAUCAUUGAUGAUUGUCUUCAAUCAGGAUCGACCGAGCGUGGUGUUAUUUUCUUACAUUAUAUACAAGAACUCCAUUGUACAUAUUAUUCAAAGAAGAAUAUUUCAAGAAGGCGAAUUUACUUUUUCUUAUGUACACAACAAUUAGGGUUGGAAACUUUUAUAACAUUUCAUCGUCAUUGCGUCAUUUAAAGUAUAACAGAUAAAAAGGAAGAUAAAAUAUGCCGAUCGAUAAAUUGUGCAUGUGUGGAAACAUGGUAGUCAAUAGCAAUAUGUGUAUGUAAAGGUUUUCAAUGAAAAUGAUGAUUAAAACAUACUUGUGAAGACGGC
rnacentral:lncRNA from 1 species